AACGAACGCUGGCGGCAGGCUUAACACAUGCAAGUCGAGCGCCCCGCAAGGGGAGCGGCAGACGGGUGAGUAACGCGUGGGAAUCUACCCAUCUCUACGGAAUAACGCAUGGAAACGUGUGCUAAUACCGUAUAUGUCCUUCGGGAGAAAGAUUUAUCGGAGAUGGAUGAGCCCACGUUGGAUUAGCUAGUUGGUGGGGUAAAGGCCUACCAAGGCGACGAUCCAUAGCUGGUCUGAGAGGAUGAUCAGCCACACUGGGACUGAGACACGGCCCAGACUCCUACGGGAGGCAGCAGUGGGGAAUAUUGGACAAUGGGCGCAAGCCUGAUCCAGCCAUGCCGCGUGAGUGAUGAAGGCCCUAGGGUUGUAAAGCUCUUUCACCGGUGAAGAUAAUGACGGUAACCGGAGAAGAAGCCCCGGCUAACUUCGUGCCAGCCGCCGCGGUAACAC
rnacentral:rRNA from 1 species